CUCUCUCCUCCCUCCUCUGCUCGCCUCGCGCUCGCUCUCUCUCUCCGCCGGCCUCAUCGGAGAGAGUUGCAGUUCCCUCUGGGCCUGUGUGGACUAGGAGCACAAGCCGGCGCCUGACUGGCAGGAGAGGAAAGCGGAGACUCCUUCAGGUUUCCAAAGAGGUCCGAGUGGACUGCAUUAGGAAAACCUAAGGAGUCUUACACUUUUAAUCCUCCAGUCAUUGGCUGUGCAGUGAGGACACAGUGCUGAGGUGGUGGGAAUAAAAGGUGACUGCUUUCCUGGCCCUUUACAGUCUAGUUAAGCAUUUGACUGACAGAAUGUUGGCACCAGCCCUGGAAAUGCUACUCAGCCUCAACUCCAAAUCUCUGUCCUGAGACACAACAACAGGAUGUGCCUUGGAGAAGAGU